GAUGAACGCUGACAGAAUGCUUAACACAUGCAAGUCUACUUGAACUUCGGUUUGGGUGGCGGACGGGUGAGUAACGCGUAAAGAACUUGCCUCACAGUUAGGGACAACAUUUGGAAACGAAUGCUAAUACCUGAUAUUAUGAUUUUAGGGCAUCCUAAGAUUAUGAAAGCUAUAUGCGCUGUGAGAGAGCUUUGCGUCCCAUUAGCUAGUUGGAGAGGUAACGGCUCACCAAGGCGAUGAUGGGUAGCCGGCCUGAGAGGGUGAACGGCCACAAGGGGACUGAGACACGGCCCUU
rnacentral:rRNA from 2 species